rnacentral:tRNA from 1 species
CAGAUUGGUUCCGGUUAGUUAGGAUUUUCAUUUACGCUGAAUUAUAUGUUGUGCAAUUCAACACAUUCUGA